AGUCUUUAAUAGAGAUGGACUGCAGCUUGAGACAAUACUUCCCAAUAGCUUGUAAGCCCUCAUUACCUAUCUUUGGACAAGAUUCAAUGUUCAAAGAAUUCAAGUUAGGACAGUUCUCAGCAAUUGCAAUCAAACCUUUGUUGGAUAUUGAAGGACAAUUGCAAAGGUCAAGCUUUUCCAACAAAUGGCAUUCUUUGGCCACCUCAAAUAGA
rnacentral:misc_RNA from 1 species